rnacentral:misc_RNA from 1 species
GGCAAGGAGGAAAAAAUGUUCUACA